rnacentral:rRNA from 1 species
UACGAAGGGGGCUAGCGUUGCUCGGAAUUACUGGGCGUAAAGCGCACGUAGGCGGAUUGUUAAGUCGGGGGUGAAAUCCUGGAGCUCAACUCCAGAACUGCCUUCGAUACUGGCGAUCUAGAGUCCGGGAGAGGUGAGUGGAACUGCGAGUGUAGAGGUGAAAUUCGUAGAUAUCGAGAGGAACACCGGUGGCGAAGGCGGCCUUCUGGACAGUGACUGACGCUGAGACGCGAAAGCGUGGGGAGCAAACAGG